ACACGAAGAGCACCACACAGAGCGGCAGGUAGAAGGCGCCUACGGUGGAGAACACGGCGUAGGAAGGCUCGCGGCUUACCUGGCACUCCUCGCUGCCCUCAGAGUACGUCUCUCCCCAGCCAAAAAGCAGCGGGGCCAGAGAGAUGACAGCGGAGAGUGCCCAGGUGAGCGCGAUCAUGACGUUGGAGACGCACUUGCGGGUGCGGAGCGUGUAUUCCAUGUGGCGCGUGAUGGACCAGUAGCGGUCCAGGGCUAUGGCCGUCACGUUCCAGAUGCUGGCCGUGCAGCAAAGCACGUCGCACGCGAUCCAAAGCUGGCACAGCCUCCGACCUAGCUGCCAGCGGCGCCCGGACAGCUCGUGCACCAGGCUCAGCGGCAUGACCAGCGCGGCCACCAGGACAUCCGAGACGGCCAUGGAUGCCACCAGGUUGUGGGGCACGCGGUGGAAGGUGCGUACACGGAGGAUGGUCGCCAGCACCAGCAGGUUCCAGGCGAACGUCGCCGCCACCAGAAAGCCCAGCAAGAGUAAAACAAGUAUCAGGAGAAUGCACUGAGAAAAGAGAAAGUCCUCCACUGGAACCUAGAGGACGGGACAACAUCAUUAAAUACCGGAUUAUUCACAGGGCUGUUUCAAACACCACUUAAAAACAGCUGAUGGUGACUGCCUGCAUGCAGAGCAACUGUGCAUGGCCCCAAUCUGGAAGCAAGCUUGUGCUUCUUUAAGGCAAAUCACCUUCUUGAGGUCAUGGAACUAAUGGGAAUGAGAUGUAAACUAUGAAUCCUCUUCUUUGGAAAAAGUUCUGCAUCUAGUCUCAGGGCCUGUUAUCUGGAGGAAUGGAUGAACUGUGUUGCCCACAGGCGGGCCUCAAUGGAUCUCUAUGAAUCUUGAAAGGCAUUAUGGGCUUGUGAUUAUAUUCCCUACUGAUUCCCCAGGCCACAGCUGUCUGUAUUGAUAGCUAAGUGAGCAGCAGAAUAGUUAAUAAGGACAAAGCCAAGGAUGACUGAGGAUAAUUUGUGAAAAAUAGAGUGUCAUAAAUUUAGGGACUGAAUAGAAUAUUCCCACAAAGGAGAGAUCCAAUGGAGCAUUUCCAGAAGGGACAAACCCUGUUCAGAAAGUCUGGCUUAUCUCUUAAAAAUACACAAAUAAAAAAUCAUAAUAUUUCAGCUUCAUCUUAAAGCAUAGCCCCAAUUUUAUCUUGAAAAACACUGAAAAGGAAAAGAAUCUGAAAAGGUAUAAAACUCCCGUCUGCCAUAUGGUACCUCUGAAAUGGCAGUAUUGGGAAAUAUACCUUCCUGGGUUGUCACCUCUUAUGGGUUAAACUGUGUCUCUCCUUCCCCCCUCCCUUACCCCCUGCCAGAUUUAUAUAUGGAAGUCCUAACCCCUAGAACCUCAUAGUGUGACUAUAUUUAGAAAUAAGAUCUUUAAAGGGAUGAUUAAGUUAAAAUGAGGCCAUAGGAUAGGGCCUCAUUCAAUCUGACUGACAUCCUUAUGAAAAGAGGAAAUUUAGACAUGCAAAGAGACACCAAGGAUGUGUGUGUGCAUAGGAUAGACCACGUGAGAAUAAAGCAAGAAGGUGGCCAUCUACAAGCCAAGGAGAGAGACAUUAGAAGAUACCAGUAUUGGAAGAUUAGAAGAUAUCAAGAUUGGAUUUCCAGCUGCCAGAACUAGGAAAAAAUAAAUUUCUAGUAUGAGCCACUCAGUCUGUGGUAUUUUGUUAUGGCAGCCCUAGCAAGCUAAUAUACCAUCCGACAAAAGAUACUAGCAAAAGAUACAACCACAUAACUGAACGAGGUGCUAUACUGGAGAAGAGGGAAUUAUAGACAUAUAAACAAAUCAUGGGACAUCUACUAAAACCUUUCCAAAAGGUAGUUUGCAGCCAUCUAGCAAUCAUUCGAGUGCAGACUCAGUUGUCUAUUGAGGUUACUUACGGUUUGUAAUCAAGUCAUGUCACUGGCUUAUAGAAAAAUACUUAUUUUAGAUUUUUCUAUAAUGGGAAGGUAUGAAUCUAUUUCAUUCAAGUAGGAGCUGAUUUUUUGGUUUGUUUUUGCUUCUGUUUUUUGAGACAGAGUCUCACUCUGUCAUCCAGGCUGGAGUGCAGUGGCACAAUCUUGGCUCACUGCAACUUCCAUCUUCCGGGUUCAAGCGAUUCCCAGCUAAGUUUUUUGUAUUUGUAGUAGAGAUGGGGAUUUUACCAUGUUGUCCAGGCUGGUCUCGAACUCCUGACCUCAAUUGAUCCAUCCCCAUCAGCCUCCCAAAUUGUUGGAAUUACAGGCCUAAGCCACCACACCCGGCCAAGACCAACGAAUUUUAAUGUAACAGCAUAAUAAACAUGCAUGAUACAAUUUCAGAUUCCACAUCACAACAAAUCUUUAAGGUGCUACCACUCAUUGAGUUUUAAUAUAGCAUCACAGAAAAAAUAUCCAUAAUUAUCUGAAAAUAGUAUUAAAGUACUCUAUUGUCUGCUGUAUAUCUGUAUGAAAGUGGAUGUUCUUCACAAUCUUAAACUAAAAUAACAUAUCCCAACAGAUGGAAUGUAGAAACAUAUGAUGUUCUAGCUGUCUUGAAGAGAUUUGCAAAAAUGUUAAUGCUAUUCAGAAAUAUUUUAUGAAAAAUAAUUAUUUUUCAUAAUGAGGUAUCACUUAUAUAGACAUGUAAUGGGUUUAUUUUAUUUUUAAUAAACAAAUACACAAAUAUGUUGAAAAAAAAAAAAAAA
rnacentral:lncRNA from 1 species